rnacentral:lncRNA from 1 species
UUGAUAAUAAUACAAAUUCCAACCCAGACCUCCCUAGGAAAACAAAGUCACGGCUCUGUUAAUAUUUUUAAAUUUAUAAAAAAUAUGAAGUAUUCAAUGUUUGUAAUGUUUAUUUUUUCCUCUCUAUAGAUUGGGAAACGCUUAUUUAUGCAUAUAAUACGAUACUAGAUAUUAUGAUUAUCUGAUUACCAAAAUCAAAAAUGAGAUAGCACGAACUAAUUUAAAAAGCAAUAAUUCAAUAAAACAUUAAAGGUAUUAUUGACAAUCAAAAACAACAUGUAAUUCCUUAUAUGUCAUCAAUUUUCCACGACAUAUCGAGCAAUGAUCUAAAUUGACUACACAGCAUCCAUGGUAAAUGUGUCCACAAGGAGUGGCAACGAGAAUAGUAUUAGGAGCAUUGUCUGGAAGUCUAUUAGAUUCCCGAGGUCCAGGCCAGGUAUCAUUUGGUCUUAAAGGCUUCCAACAUCUCGCACAGCGUGUCUGUUCCAUAAGACGAAUCCUUACUGGUUGAAGAAGAUUUGAACUCUCCUCACACUCAGCUACAUUAGUUCUUAGAUCCAUUGGGUAUAAAUAUUAAAUAGGACUUAAAGUAUUUUUUCAAAAUAAAAGUAUAAAUCUUAGAAUUGACUAGUAAUCAAUAUUCAUGACAUGCUAUCUACCCACUGGAUCCUUCAAAGUGCACAUGGACAACAUUUUUGCAAUUCUCGCACCUCGAUUUUGAUCGGCUCUCACCUUUGCUUCGCUCUCCCCUUUUCAUCAUGAUUCAUCCUAUGAUUAAAAUUAUCAAAUAUUAGCCGACAUUAUCAUAUUAAUUUUCAAUUUUGCAGUUUUUGACGUAUAUUUUUUUAAUAUUUUUUGUUACAAAGUUUUAAUUUACGAUACUCAGUCCCCUUAAUAUAAAUAUUAGUAAUUAAUACUAAAACUAAUACUGAGUGAUUGUGUAAUUUUUAUUAGAUGAAUCAUACAACAAAUUUCAAUGUAACUUCUGAUAUAGACGAAUUUGUUGAAUAACAGUUUUUUAUUAAAUUCAAAUGAAAUUUAUAAAUAAAGAAAUGUGGAUC